AAAAUGUGAAAAAUAAAUCCUAUUCUAACCUAUCCUAAUCCUAAACUACACUCCCGUGCUUUACCCGAUGCCUCGGGCCUUCAUCACGAACCUCCUUUGUGUACAUAAUACGUCGGGGCAUUCUCCGAUAAAUAAAUACAAAUGACCACGGGGCAUUUUCCGACUAAAUGAAUACAUUUUUCAAAUGCGAGAAAAAGAGAAUCAUACAACAAACAUUCCACAUUCAACAACCAACAAGCUUCAAAUUUGCCUACCCAAACCUACUAUUUACCUGCCCAGCUUGACCUAUCAUGAUUCUAUCACGUUCAACAUCAUCAAUGAAUCAAAAUUUAUCAAAAUUUACUUUUAUCAAGACCAAUCCUUCCCGCAUUCAUUCUCCAAUCAAUUAACUAAUUCUUCAACUACCAAUCCAAGUUUUCAUAUCCAACAUCAAUCAACACAGAAUUAAUAUUCCAACAUGCCAAACACACAAAUUAUUCACAAUUAUGUAACAAUUAAAGGGAUAGAAGAUAGAAUUAGACCUUCCGAAUACUUUUGAUUGAUUUAUGAAGGGAAUAAAGAGUUGUUCCAAAACUCCGAUGAAUACCGAACCACGACUCCCAAACCAAUUAUGAAGCCUUCAAUCGCGAUAGACCCAAAAUCCGACUUGAAUCAAUAUCCACAAAAAAAAUACAAAAUAAAUACCCAAAACUGAAACCAAGAAGAAGAAGAAGGCCACAACCCCAAAUAUAAUUUAAUGGCUGGAGUUGAUGUUAGCAUGAUAUUUAACCGAGAAUAAGAGGAACGAACUUCUGACGUGAUUUCAGAUCGUACUAGAGCCGGUGGUACUAUUUUUCGAUGAGUUUCGACGGAACAGUGGCCAAGCCAUAGCUAUUGGUAUUUUGGAGUAGUGAUUCCAGUGGAUCCCCGUCAAGAACCCACCGAAGAAAUUACCUAUUUUCUCGAUUUCACUUUCGCCAACUCCCGAUUUCACUCCUUUUCUCUUGAUUCUCUCUCAAUUCUCUCUCUCUCUAAUCACAUGUGUGUGUACAAAUUUUUGAUCAGUUGUGCAUGUGCACGUUUCCGGUGAGUUGCGUGGGUAUAUGUGUCUAUGACUGUGUGGUCUAUUUUUUGUGUGUAAGAGUGAUGUUCUGUGAGGAUGAGUGAGGUUCGUAGUGUAUGGUGUGCAAUUUUUCGUACAUAAAAAUGUGUGUUAAUGGUGGUUUCUUCUGCAUGAAUUGUGAG
rnacentral:lncRNA from 1 species